rnacentral:lncRNA from 10 species
GAAUCCACAAGGAUGUGGAAAUGCCCUUCUAACCAGACUUAGAAGACAAGCACUCUGCAGUCCCAACGGAGGUGCUGGGUCCAACUCUGACAUUUGAUUGGCCAAAGACUGGAAACAACCCAAGGCCCAGCAUGAGGGGAUCUGCUGGCUAACUCACGGUGAGCUAAUCCACGGCGAGCUAACCCACGGCGAGCUAACCCACGGCGAGCUAACCCACCGCCAGCUAACCCACGGCGAGCUAACCCACGGCGAGCUAACCCACGGCCAGCUAACCCACGGCGAGCUAACCCACGGCCAGCUAACCCACGGCCAGCUAACCCACGGCCAGCUUACCCACGGCCAGCUAACCCACGGCCAGCUAACCCACGGCGAGCUAACCCACGGCCAGCUUACCCACGGCGAGCUAACCCACGGCGAGCUAACCCACGGCGAGCUAACCCACGGCGAGCUUACCCACGGCGAGCUAACCCACGGCGAGCUAACCCACGGCGAGCUAACCCACGGCGAGCUUACCCACGGCGAGCUAACCCACGGCGAGCUAACCCACGGCGAGCUAAUCCACGGCGAGCUAACCCACGGUGAGCUAAUCCACGGCGAGCUAACCCACGGCGAGCUUACCGGAGCACUCGGUAGCUGUGCUAGAGGCCUGUGUGGAGCAAAUGUGCCUGGUUUUACAGUUCUGACAAGAAAGCCAGUCAAAUGAUUUGUAUUCGCAAAACAAAUUAUAACAAUUUCUAGAAUUUAAACAAAUGGACUUGUGUAUCAAGUUGGUGACAGAAGCGCAGAGUAGUUAAUCCAAUUACAUCAUAUUUUAACUUUGUAUCUUCAAAGGGAAAGGUCUAAAAAAGCUAGCAGAAAAAAACUUUGACCAGUAGUCAUUGUUAACAAUACCUUUUUUGGUAGAGGUGGG